AGAGUUUGAUCCUGGCUCAGGAUGAACGCUGGCGGUAUGCUUAACACAUGCAAGUCGAACGAAUCCCUUCGGGGAUUAGUGGCGGACGGGUGAGUAACGCGUGAGAAUUUACCAAAAGGACUGGGACAACCACUGGAAACGGUGGCUAAUACCGGAUGAACCGAAAAGUAAAAAGGGAAACCUGCCUUUUGAAGAGCUCGCGUCUGAUUAGCUAGUUGGUGAGGUAAGAGCUCACCAAGGCAGCGAUCAGUAGCUGGUCUGAGAGGAUGACCAGCCACACUGGGACUGAGACACGACCCAGACUCCUACGGGAGGCAGCAGUGGGGAAUUUUCCGCAAUGGGCGAAAGCCUGACGGAGCAAUACCGCGUGAGGGAAGAAGGCUCUUGGGUCGUAAACCUCUUUUAUCAGGGAAGAAAAAAAUGACGGUACCUGAAGAAUCAGCCUCGGCUAACUCCGUGCCAGCAGCCGCGGUAAUACGGAGGAGGCAAGCGUUAUCCGGAAUUAUUGGGCGUAAAGCGUCCGCAGGUGGCUUAUCAAGUCUGCUGUCAAAGAGUGGGGCUUAACCCCAUUAAGGCAGUGGAAACUGAGAAGCUAGAGUGCCGUAGGGGUAGAGGGAAUUCCCGGUGUAGCGGUGAAAUGCGUAGAGAUCGGGAAGAACAUCGGUGGCGAAAGCGCUCUACUGGACGGACUGACACUCAGGGACGAAAGCUAGGGGAGCGAAUGGGAUUAGAUACCCCAGUAGUCC
rnacentral:rRNA from 1 species